rnacentral:tRNA from 1 species
GGCAGUGUAGCCUAGUGGUAAAGUGCUGGACCACCAAUCGGGAGGUCGGGGGUUCGAACCCCACAACCGGCA